rnacentral:lncRNA from 1 species
UAAGUUCUAUUUAUUAAAUUGAUAUUGCGUCAUUUUUGGCACUUUGUAAAAUGGGGUCAUUUGAUAUAUCAAAUUGAAGGUCUUAAUGAGCUCUACUCAAAAUUGAAAAAUUUAAACCCCCUUUUCAUCCCAAUGGGCAGGGUGGGGUCAUUUAGUGCAAAAAUUCAAACUUCUCAGAUGGUCAGGUUGUUGCAUAUCAAAUGAAAGUCCACAAAGCGUUCAUUUCAAAUAUCAAGUUGACGUCCCCCUAAAAAUGGUUGAGUGGGGUUAUUGAGUGCAAAAAAUAUAUUUUCUUUUAAGAUAAGGUUGUUGUAUAUCAAAUGAAAGGUCAUGAUGUGUACAUUUGAAAUAUCAAAUUCCUGACCUCCACAAAUGAG